UACGGGGGGGGCAAGCGUUGUUCGGAAUUACUGGGCGUAAAGGGCUCGUAGGCGGCCAACUAAGUCAUACGUGAAAUCCCUCGGCUUAACCGGGGAACUGCGUCUGAUACUGGAUGGCUUGAGUUCGGGAGAGGGAUGCGGAAUUCCAGGUGUAGCGGUGAAAUGCGUAGAUAUCUGGAGGAACACCGGUGGCGAAGGCGGCAUCCUGGACCGAAACUGACGCUGAGGAGCGAAAGCGUGGGUAGCAAACAGG
rnacentral:rRNA from 1 species